rfam:Piriformospora indica DSM 11827 mitochondrial complete genome
GCUUCGAUAGCUUAGUGGUAAAGCAGUGACCUGAAGAGUCAUGGACGACUGUUCGAUUCAGUCUUGAGGCA